AGCGAACGCUGGCGGCAGGCCUAACACAUGCAAGUCGAACGAACCUUUCGGGGUUAGUGGCGGACGGGUGAGUAACACGUGGGAACGUUCCUUUAGGUUCGGAAUAACUCAGGGAAACUUGUGCUAAUACCGAAUGUGCCCUUCGGGGGAAAGAUUUAUCGCCUUUCGAGCGGCCCGCGUCUGAUUCGCUAGUUGGUUGAGGUAAUGGCUCACCCAGGCGACGAUCAGUAGCUGGUCUGAGAGGAUGAUCAGCCACAUUGGGACUGAGACACGGCCCAAACUCCUACGGGAGGCAGCAGGGGGGAAGCUGGCGCAAUGGGCGAAAGCCUGACGCAGCCAUGCCGCGUGAAUGAUGAAGGUCUUAGGAAUGUAAAAUUCUUUCACCGGGGACGAUAAGGACGGUACCAGGAGAAGAAGCCCGGGCUAACUUCGU
rnacentral:rRNA from 1 species